rnacentral:misc_RNA from 1 species
AUUUUAAAAGUAGCAAAAAAAUAAAUUAAAUGCACACUUCACUUUUACUUUUAAUAGAAAUAAAGAUAUAAAAAAACACGUACACACCAUGUGAGGGUCUAACCAUGAGUCUUGUGACUCCCAACCACAUCAUUGAAUUUAGAUGCAUGAGGCAACCUAAAGGGGAAAAGGGAUAAACUACAAGAACUAGAAAAGGAAAAAGCACUUGUCUGCUUUUCCUUUCCUUCAAGUUUGGGGAAUUCCAAAUACCUAAUUCACACAGCAACCGUGUUGAGCUAAGCAUGGCCGCAGCCGCACACAUUGCGUGGAUCACAUAUUUUUCGUGUCCACAACUCAACACUCAUAUUUCAUUAUUUGAAUAUUCUAUAAUUAAACAACACCACAUAUUAUUAUGUACGGAACUCCAUUUCAUUACUCUCUCCCAAUUUUCUUUGUCAUCAUCAUCGUAUUCCUCAUUUGCCUUAGUAGUCCUAAUCAACCUACUAAUUAUCGUAAUUAACAUUGACUUGUAUCCAGGUCAAUGACAUUAAGGCAACAAAUAAAUCACUAACCUAAAUCAAUCAAUCAACUGGGCUGACCUAUGAUAUAUUUGAAGAGUAAAUGCUAGAGAUUUCGAGAUUAAUUUAUGGUAAAUAGUGUCAACAGUUAUGGAAACCAAGUAUUUUCCUACUCCUACUUCCAAUACUAUUUAUUUCUGCUAGCUGUUUUCCCAGGCAGAAAUAAUAAAAUGAAACAACGAUGAAACGGUCCAAACUAAAGCCCCAUUUACACUUGCAAAUUAAACCAAGUAACCGUUGUUUAAUUUUACACUAACCCGUUACUCAUCAUCUUCUUAAACUCCUCGAAAUUCACGUUGCCGUCGCCAUCUUGGUCCACCUGGCGAAUCAUCUUAGUACAAUCGCCCAACGUGCACUUAAGUCCAAGCAUCUUCAUAACUUUGUGCAAUUCACGAGCCGAAAUCAACCCAUUCUUGUCAAUGUCGUACAGAUCAAAAGCGUCCUUCAGCUCCUUAUUCCCGCCGUUCUGCGUUGUUCCAUCGGCGCCGCCGUCCAUUCCGCCGUGCUGGAUAAAGUCGACAAACUCGUCAAGGUCAAUGUGGCCGUCGCCGUCCUUGUCAAACUCCUGCAUCAUGCACUGAACCUCCUCGGUUGAUAUUUUGGUGCCGAGCUCACCCAAGCUAUCUAUAACCUCAGAAGAUGAGAUCUUUCCGUCGCCGUUUUUGUCGAACUUGUUGAAUAUUCUUCGUAUUUCGUCCAUGGAGCCGACGAGACUAGUAGGGUCUGAACUCGCCAUUUC